rnacentral:rRNA from 1 species
AGAGUUUGAUCCUGGCUCAGAUUGAACGCUGGCGGAAUGCUUUACACAUGCAAGUCGAACGGUAGAGGGGGCAACCCCUUGAGAGUGGCGAACGGGUGAGUAAUAUAUCGGAACGUGCCCAGUCGUGGGGGAUAACGUAGCGAAAGUUACGCUAAUACCGCAUACGAUCUAAGGAUGAAAGCGGGGGAUCGCAAGACCUCGCGCGAUUGGAGCGGCCGAUAUCAGAUUAGGUAGUUGGUGGGGUAAAGGCUCACCAAGCCAACGAUCUGUAGCUGGUCUGAGAGGACGACCAGCCACACUGGAACUGAGACACGGUCCAGACUCCUACGGGAGGCAGCAGUGGGGAAUUUUGGACAAUGGACGCAAGUCUGAUCCAGCCAUUCCGCGUGCAGGAUGAAGGCCCUCGGGUUGUAAACUGCUUUUGUACGGAACGAAAAGGUUUCCAUUAAUACUGGGGGCUCAUGACGGUACCGUAAGAAUAAGCACCGGCUAACUACGUGCCAGCAGCCGCGGUAAUACGUAGGGUGCAAGCGUUAAUCGGAAUUACUGGGCGUAAAGCGUGCGCAGGCGGUUAUGUAAGACAGAGGUGAAAUCCCCGGGCUCAACCUGGGAACUGCCUUUGUGACUGCAUAGCUAGAGUACGGUAGAGGGGGAUGGAAUUCCGCGUGUAGCAGUGAAAUGCGUAGAUAUGCGGAGGAACACCGAU